GACGAACGCUGGCGGCGUGCCUAAUACAUGCAAGUAGAACGCUGAAGAGAGGAGCUUGCUCUUCUUGGAUGAGUUGCGAACGGGUGAGUAACGCGUAGGUAACCUGCCUUGUAGCGGGGGAUAACUAUUGGAAACGAUAGCUAAUACCGCAUAACAAUGGAUGACACAUGUCAUUUAUUUGAAAGGGGCAAUUGCUCCACUACAAGAUGGACCUGCGUUGUAUUAGCUAGUAGGUGAGGUAAUGGCUCACCUAGGCGACGAUACAUAGCCGACCUGAGAGGGUGAUCGGCCACACUGGGACUGAAACACGGCCCAGACUCCUACGGGAGGCAGCAGUAGGGAAUCUUCGGCAAUGGGGGCAACCCUGACCGAGCAACGCCGCGUGAGUGAAGAAGGUUUUCGGAUCGUAAAGCUCUGUUGUAAGUCAAGAACGGGGGUGAGAGUGGAAAGUUCACACUGUGACGGUAGCUUACCAGAAAGGGACGGCUAACUACGUG
rnacentral:rRNA from 1 species